rnacentral:rRNA from 1 species
UGGGGAAUAUUGCACAAUGGGGGAAACCCUGAUGCAGCAACGCCGCGUGAGUGAUGACGGCCUUCGGGUUGUAAAGCUCUGUCUUCAGGGACGAUAAUGACGGUACCUGAGGAGGAAGCCACGGCUAACUACGUGCCAGCAGCCGCGGUAAUACGUAGGUGGCAAGCGUUGUCCGGAUUUACUGGGCGUAAAGGGAGCGUAGGCGGACUUUUAAGUGAGAUGUGAAAUACCCGGGCUCAACCUGGGUGCUGCAUUUCAAACUGGAAGUCUAGAGUGCAGGAGAGGAGAGUGGAAUUCCUAGUGUAGCGGUGAAAUGCGUAGAGAUUAGGAAGAACACCAGUGGCGAAGGCGACUCUCUGGACCGUAACUGACGCUGAGGCUCGAAAGCGUGGGGAGCAAACA